AUGGAACACACGCGAUUUCAGCCGCCGUUCAACCUUUCUAAAAGCUUUCACAUCCAUUAUCUGACUGGUGUCUCAAACUGCUACUGAGGCUUCAGCUCUGAUCUGGACCAGUGCUCUCCAGGCCUACUGCACAGCUGUCAUACUGAACUUUCCUACAUCCUACACCUGGUUGGGGUUCCCUGUGCCCUGGACCUUGUGUCUCAAACUUCUGGAUUGUGGAUUUACUCUGUCAUCUCUGUGCAGCACAUCUUUCUGUAGAUUCCUGAGAAAGGUUGCAAAGAAGCAAAUAUAUUUAGUCCUUGUAUGUCUAAA